AUUGAACGCUGGCGGCAUGCCUUACACAUGCAAGUCGAACGGCAGCACGGGUGCUUGCCCCUGGUGCGAGUGGCGAACGGGUGAGUAAUACAUCGGAACAUGUCCUGUAGUGGGGGAUAGCCCGGCGAAAGCCGGAUUAAUACCGCAUACGAUCUACGGAUGAAAGCGGGGGACCUUCGGGCCUCGCGCUAUAGGGUUGGCCGAUGGCUGAUUAGCUAGUUGGUGGGGUAAAGGCCUACCAAGGCGACGAUCAGUAGCUGGUCUGAGAGGACGACCAGCCACACUGGGACUGAGACACGGCCCAGACUCCUACGGGAGGCAGCAGUGGGGAAUUUUGGACAAUGGGCGAAAGCCUGAUCCAGCAAUGCCGCGUGUGUGAAGAAGGCCUUCGGGUUGUAAAGCACUUUUGUCCGGAAAGAAAUCCUUGGCCCUAAUACGGUCGGGGGAUGACGGUACCGGAAGAAUAAGCACCGGCUAACUACGUG
rnacentral:rRNA from 1 species